UUCCUGUAUGUGCCAUGUGCUAUAGGGCCACCUUGCAUUAGGGUCUGAACAGCAUGCAAUACAAUCGUCAUGCUUCCUUCAACAACAACUUCCAAGAUUAGUAGAAGUGACCAACAACGUUAUCUUCUUCGGGAACUUAUCUGGAGAUCCCACAUUGUUGACAUCGUUAAAGCUCAUCAAUUGUGCUUAGACUCUAGACAAGGAACCUCUGCAGACACACAACGAAACCAGCAAUGGCUCAGAGUUUGGCAGUUUUUGUUUACAUUUACAUCAGCAAAAGGUCUAUUGAACAUGUUACAUUUAUAUACAACCUUUUAAAAAAGCAGUUGAAAGUUCUGUAUGUUACUGUUUUGUUCUGGAGGUCCCAUAAUGGCGGACUGAUGUAUUAUUAUUUUCCAUAUAUAUUCUGUAUAUAUAUG